rnacentral:rRNA from 1 species
CCUACGGGAGGCAGCAGUGAGGAAUAUUGGUCAAUGGACGAGAGUCUGAACCAGCCAAGUAGCGUGAAGGAUGACUGCCCUAUGGGUUGUAAACUUCUUUUAUAAAGGAAUAAAACGAGGCACGUGUGCCUUUUUGCAUGUACUUUAUGAAUAAGGAUCGGCUAACUCCGUGCCAGCAGCCGCGGUAAUACGGAGGAUCUGAGCGUUAUCCGGAUUUAUUGGGUUUAAAGGGAGCGUAGAUGGGUUGUUAAGUCAGUUGUGAAAGUUUGCGGCUCAACCGUAAAAUUGCAAUUGAUACUGGGAGUCUUGAGUACAGGUGAGGUAGGCGGAAUUCGUGGUGUAGCGGUGAAAUGCUUAGAUAUCACGAAGAACCCCGAUUGCGAAGGCAGCUUACUAAACUGUGACUGACAUUGAUGCUCGAAAGUGUGGGUAUCAAACAGGAUUAGAUACCCUUGUAGUC